AUGGCAGCAGAUGGCUUACCUUGGUCUGGGUUUGCACCUAGGCCUGCAUGUGCUGGCCACCCCCAGCCGUUUCUAGUUGAUGCGCUAGCCUGGCGUUAAGAAAAGAGUCGUUCUCUAGCAAGUAUCUCUACGUGAGGACCUAUAAGUAAGAACACCGUUGGAUCUAAUCUAACUGUUACGCAAUAACCAAUUGUAAGUGAAUUGUGUGAAACUGUUGCACUGGGACGAGGCCUCCUCCCUCCAAAACGGCUGUAUUGUGUUCUUGGAGAACACGAUAUCUCCCUCCAACAAAGUUGUUCUCUUUCUUCAAUAACAUAAAAUUUUCUUUUGAUCAGAGACCGAUUCUUCUCAUCCGAGACUUCCCCUUCUCAAAGCAUCCACCGAAAAAAAGCAUCCACUAGGCAUCAGUUGUUUGUCCCCAAAAUCUUACAACUCAGCUACCACCCAAAAUAUCUCAACAGCAUUUGCUCACGUUCUCCUUAAUGAACCAUCAUCAGAGUGAGAGAAGUGUGACCCUGCAAGUGUUGUUGUCGAUGUGAGAGCAGCGAAGCCAUGUCCACCUGAAGGAGAUUCUUACCCGAAGACCCGUGCUGGCGAAUAUCCGGGUCACACUCCCGUCGGGCGUGGCCACACCCAAACCGUUGAGCAAGGAUUUGGGUCAAUACAGGGCAGUGAACAUGAUGGCCUUUUGCAAGGACUUCAACGCCCAGACCCAAAUGUUUAAACUUAGACGUACCCGUGGUGGUGACCCUGAACAACACCUACGAGUUCAUGGUAAAGUCACCGUCUGUCAACUGGUACCUGAGGAAGGCCACCAGCCUCGACUCAGGCAGCAGCCGACUCAAACACGUGGUUGCUUCUGA
rnacentral:lncRNA from 1 species